GAUGAACGCUGGCGGCGUGCCUAAUACAUGCAAGUCGAGCGAAUGGAUUGAGAGCUUGCUCUUAUGAAGUUAGCGGCGGACGGGUGAGUAACACGUGGGUAACCUGCCCAUAAGACUGGGAUAACUCCGGGAAACCGGGGCUAGUACCGGAUAACAUUUUGAACCGCAUGGUUCGAAAUUGAAAGGCGGCUUCGGCUGUCACUUAUGGAUGGACCCGCGUCGCAUUAGCUAGUUGGUGAGGUAACGGCUCACCAAGGCAACGAUGCGUAGCCGACCUGGGAGGGUGAUCGGCCACACGGGGACUGAGACACGGCCCAGACUCCUACGGGAGGCAGCAGUAGGGAAUCUUCCGCAAUGGACGAAAGUCUGACGGAGCAACGCCGCGUGAGUGAUGAAGGCUUUCGGGUCGUAAAACUCUGUUGUUAGGGAAGAACAAGUGCUAGUUGAAUAAGCUGGCACCUUGACGGUACCUAACCAGAAAGCCACGGCUAACUACGAGCCAGCCGCCGCCGUAA
rnacentral:rRNA from 1 species